GUGAGGAAUUUUCCGCAAUGGGCGAAAGCCUGACGGAGCAAUGCCGCGUGAAGGAUGAAGGCCUAUGGGUUGUAAACUUCUUUUCUCAGAAAAGAAUUAUGACGGUAUCUGAGGAAUAAGCAUCGGCUAACUCUGUGCCAGCAGCCGCGGUAAGACAGAGGAUGCAAGCGUUAUCCGGAAUGAUUGGGCGUAAAGCGUCUGUAGGUUGUUUAAAAAGUAUUCUGUCAAAGAUUAGGGCUUAACCCUAGAUAGGCAGAAUAAACUUUUAAGCUAGAGUUUGGUAGAGGCAGAGGGAAUUUCCGGUGGAGCGGUGAAAUGCGUAGAUAUCGGGAGGAACACCAAAGGCGAAGGCACUCUGCUGGGCCAAUACUAACACUGAGAGACGAAAGCGAGGGGAGCAAAUGGGAUUAGAAACCCGUGUAGUCC
rnacentral:rRNA from 1 species